rnacentral:lncRNA from 1 species
AUUUAUGUACUUUUUUGUUUUUAUUUUUUGCAGUGCUGGGGAUGGAACCAGGGCCUCACACAUGCAAUGUGAGCACUCUAUUACUUAGCAACAAUCCAGCCUCAUACACAAGUUUUUGUGCAGACAUAUAUUUCCAUUUCUCUUGGGAAUAUGUCUAGGAAUGAAAUUACUGGGUGUUAAGGUAACUCUAUAUUUAAGUAUUUGAACAACUGUCAAACUGUUUUCCAGAAGUGUUGCUCCAUCUUAAAUUCUCAGAAUCAGCCUUGUGUAAGGGUUACAUUUUUCCAUGUCCUUGCCAAUACUUUUUUUUUUAAUAUAUUUUUUUUAAUUUUUCUUAGUUUUCGGCAGACACAACACCUUUAUUUGUAUGUGGUGCUGAGGAUCGAACCCAGGCCGCACGCAUGCCAGGCGAGCGCGCUACUGCUUGAGCCACAUCCCCAGCCCCAAUACUUUUAAUUAAAAACAAAAUAGACACAAAGAGUAUAUUAUCUUUAUUGUAGUCAGUGUACAUGAAAUGGUAUCUUAUUGUGGCUUUAAUUUCCAUUUUCCUGAUGGUUAAUGAUAUUGAGAAUCUUUUCAUGUGAUUAUUGAUCUUUUUUGUAUCUACUUUGGAGAAAUGUCUAUUCAUUUCCUCUUUGCCCAAUUUAAAGUUGAUUUUCUUUUAUAUUUGUCAAAGUUAUUUAUAUGUUCUGGAUAAAAGUUCUGUAUCAGAUAUUAAAUAUUAUGCAAAUAUUUUCUCUCAUCCUAUGUGGUGCUCUCCAGUUUCUCAAUAGUGUCCUUUGAAGCAUAAGAGUAUU